AUGCUUGACCCUAGGUUCGACAAGCGUCACCGUGCCCGUUUCAUUGAGAAUGGAGUGAUGCUGCCACCACUGCGGAUGAGGGCUCACAAGACGACGGUUAAGAUGGAGUACGAUGAGCGGUACACACCGUUCUUCAGGAGAGCCCGACUAUUGGGUUUCGUCCUGCAGUUCAAGUGUAAGCCGCCGACGCUCGUCCACUCAACUCUCACGGCUUUGAUCGACCGGUGGCGGCCAGAGACGCACAACUUUCAUCUUCCAUGUGGGGAGAUGACCGUGACCCUCGAGGAUUGGGCGAUGAUUACGGCACUACCGCUCGAGGGUUGUGCUCUCACAGGAAGAGUGGAGAGGGUGAACUGGCACGAGAGGGUUGUCAGCCUCAUCGGCGAGUGCCCCCCUGCUAAGAGCAACUGCACUUUCGGCAUACCGCUGUCAUGGCUCCUCGAGCACCGGAGGAAAUGCCCGGAAGAUGCCGAGCCCCGGGUGGUGGAGCAGUACGCCAGGGCCUACCUUUGGUACAUUCUCACGGAGGUAGUGUUUCCGGACUGCUCCGAGAACUCUGCCCUAUGGAUGUAUCUCUACUUCCUAAAGGAAUGGGAAGCGGGGUACAGCUAG
rnacentral:rRNA from 1 species